GACUGGAGUUUUCAGUUCCAUUCCCAUCAGAAUAUUUUAGGCGCUAAGCUUAUUGCUAGAACUGUCAUCAUGGAGGAUCGUUUUAAAUCAUACAUUGAUGUGGGAUAUCCUUCUUGGCUUAGUCAUCUCUUUUGUUAAUCUUUGUCUUUUGAUUGAAGAAGAUCUUUUAAACAUUUGUAAUAUCAAUAUUCAAUGAGGUAAUAGUGUUAAAAAGAUCUAUGAAGCAUCAGAUACAACUCAGCUUAUCAGGGAGCGAUGGGAACUU
rnacentral:lncRNA from 1 species